UACUCAUAAUUAUAAGACUUUAGCCUGGAUCAGACAGGAUCACAUAUAUUCAUCACCUAAAUUAUGCCAUGUAUUGGGAGCCAUGUGAUUGGAAAGCUGCCUCAAAAGAUGACCAGUCAAAAACAACAGGUAAAUAAUGAAUCAUUUUGGCUCUGGCCUGAAUCACAGUCAUGCAAAUUUCCUCUCUUUAUAAACUUAGGAGAGAGGCUGAUUAGCAUUCGUACCCUUGCAUAAUGAGUUUGCAAAUAAAGCAGAAUGGGGCCAAGUACGUAGACGUAUUACGCAACUCAGUUUGGAUUAAGUUUGUAUCCCGUUUAACAUCUGCAUAAAUUUAUAGCUAAUGGAAAUGACAUUUAGGCACCAAGAUAAUAGUGGAGACCCUCCAGUAGACCACUGCAAUUUAUUUUAAUUAACAGUAUACAAAACUUUUACUGCAUUUUACAGCCAAUUCAAUUUUUUUCAUUAAUAUCAUGUAUAGUUCAGAUAUUGUUUCACCAAUUUUAUCUUAAUAUCAGUAAUUUCUCCAAUAAGUGUACAUUACAAGAGAAAUUCAUUGUAUUUGUAUAUAUUUUAUAGUUUUUUGUUGAAAUGUUAAUAUAAAUAGUGUAACUGUAAUCCUACCUUGUUGUCACACAUCCUGUUUUAUAUUUGAUACAGGAAGGUAAACUCCAGAAGAGGGCCAAAGCUGCAACACUAAAAUAAACCAAAACAUCGUUGGGCAGAUGUUCAUUCGCGUGGCUCGCUAAAAGUCGAGAUGAAUUCGUGCAGCUCUGCAACGCCAAGCAAGGGACAAAUAUAUCCAUCCCAAAUGUUCUCGGCAGAAUGUGAAGGAAAGCGCAGACUGUACGCUCUGAACCAAGACCCACGCCAGCAGCUGUGACCACGAGGAGCUCCAGAAGAAUACAGAACACAAGACCAAACAGGUGCAUGCUGACAGAAGAAGAGCUACAGACUGAGACACAUCCACGGUUUCCAGACAAGACUGAGAGAAACUAGCUUCAGGUAUUUUGAUUCCUC